GAAAAUAAGACCUAGGCAUUGCACCUUUGCGGCGAGACUUCCUUCUUCUACUGUAGGAGGAGCGUUGCGGGCCGUGGCAUUGCGCAACGUGAUGACGACAUUUCGCAGUGCCGUCAGUCUGCCUUCACGGAUCUUCAGCGGAAGGAUCCAUUUCCGGGCGGUGAGGCACCCAGUGGUCGGACUCGGCAAGGAAUCUUUGAAAUGUGAGUACCGGUAGAUAUUUUAUAUCUGGGACUAAAUUAAUUAAAGGGGGCGGGGGGUGAAUUCAUUAAAGGGGGGGUGAAUUAAUUAAAGGGUGGGCUGGAUUAAUUAGAGGGGGGUGAAUUAAUUAAAGGGGUGGUGAAUUAAUUAAAGGGUGGGCUGGAUUAAUUAGAGGGGGGUGAAUUAAUUAAAGGGUGGGCUGGAUUAAU